rnacentral:lncRNA from 1 species
UUCUAAACAUUGUACUGCUUGGAAUUAAACCUUUUUCUCAUUAUAUGUUGAGGAGUGUUCUUCAACCUGAAGAUCGCAGAACCUAUGACUUUAAAUACUCAUCAAUUGUUCCAGUGAUCCCUUGUCUAGGUGGGUUUUAGGUACAAUGAUAUUUCCUGUCAAGUCGCAGUGUCUGCCCCAUGUGACCCCAGGCAUACCCAGUCCGUCUUUGAGGAUAAACCUCUUCGGGGUGCGGGGGGUGGGUGCAGGCAUUGUAAUAGUUGUAUGGUCUCCACGAUCGGUUCCUGAAAUCCUAUUUUCCCUACUAACGCUUUUCCUGGGAGUAAAUGAGUCUCCCUCAGGAAAGCCUUGACAUCAUCAUAGUCAGCUUCCAGAGGCGCAGCCCAGGAUGCGAGGAGCCCGCUGGGCAGACCCUCAGGGAAAAGAGGGAGAAACCCUUUUUUGGUUGCUAAAGUAACGGAAUAUCAUCCAGUCAUCAAAACACUCAGACUAGAGCUGAAAUUUAUAAAAGAGCAUGAAGAAUUCACUUGCCCUUGGCAUGUUAUUCAGAGUUCAACAUUGCGGUGGAAGUGGGAAAAUGCUAUUUCAUAAUAAACACGAGCACUUUGUAUAUGUCAGGAGCUGUGCAAAGUCAUCUAUGUGGGAUUCUGGAAGCUCCCACGCCUCCCCCGGGGUUACAGCUCCGGCCUUAAUGACGGCUGUGGCUGCGACUUCUACCUGCACUCGGCCCAGAUUCGCACGGAGACCGGGGGACGGUGCUGUGGCAAAGUAAUCCGAUGACCCUGCAUAACACAACAGAAGGGAAACCAACAGUUUAAAAGGAAUCUCAG